rnacentral:tRNA from 1 species
GGGUCGGUAGCUCAGCGGUAGAGCACCGGACUUUUAAUCCGGGUGUCGAGGGUUCGAAUCCCUCCCGACUCACCA